rnacentral:tRNA from 2 species
GCCGGAUUGGCGGAAUGGCAGACGCGGAGCACUCAAAAUGCUUUGUCCGAAAGGGCGUGUGGGUUCAAAUCCCACAUCCGGCACCC